CCUACGGGAGGCAGCAGUGAGGAAUAUUGGUCAAUGGUCGGGAGACUGAACCAGCCAAGCCGCGUGAGGGAUGAAGGUACAGAGUAUCGUAAACCUCUUUUGUCAGGGAACAAAGGCGGGGACGCGUCCCCGGAUGAGUGUACCUGAAGAAAAAGCAUCGGCUAACUCCGUGCCAGCAGCCGCGGUAAUACGGAGGAUGCGAGCGUUAUCCGGAUUUAUUGGGUUUAAAGGGUGCGCAGGCGGUCUGUUAAGUUAGCGGUCAAAGGCCCGGGCUCAACCCCGGGCCCGCCGUUGAAACUGGCAGUCUCGAGUUGGAGAGAGGUAUGCGGAAUGCGCGGUGUAGCGGUGAAAUGCAUAGAUAUCGCGCAGAACUCCGAUUGCGAAGGCAGCAUGCCGGCUCCACACUGACGCUGAGGCACGAAAGCGUGGGUAUCGAACAGGAUUAGAUACCCGUGUAGUC
rnacentral:rRNA from 1 species